rnacentral:rRNA from 1 species
CCUACGGGUGGCAGCAGUAGGGAAUAUUGCUCAAUGGGGGAAACCCUGAACCAGCAACGCCGCGUGGAGGAUGAAGGUUUUCGGAUUGUUAAACCCUUUUGUUAGGGAAGCUAAUGGCGGUAUCUAACGGCUAAGCACCGGCUACCUCCGUGCCAGCAGCCGCGGUUAUACGGCGGGUGCAAGCGUUACUCGGAAUCACUGGGCGUAAAGAGCGAGUAGGAGGGAUAGCAAGUCAGAUGUGAAAUCCUAGGGCUUAACCAUAGAACUGCAUUUGAAACUGGUAUUCUAGAGUAUGGGAGAGGUAGGUGGAAUGCGUGGUGUAGGGGUAAAAUCCGUAGAGAUCAAGAAGAAUACGGAUUGCGAAGGCAACCUGCUAGAACAUAACUGACGCUGAUGCGCGAAAGCGUGGGUAGCAAACAGGAUUAGAUACCCCAGUAGUC